GACGAACGCUGGCGGCGUGCCUAAUACAUGCAAGUCGAGCGGACUGAAUGGGAGCUUGCUCUUGUUCGGUCAGCGGCGGACGGGUGAGUAACACGUGGGCAACCUGCCCGCAAGACCGGGAUAACUCCGGGAAACCGGAGCUAAUACCGGAUAACACCGAAGACCGCAUGGUCUUUGGUUGAAAGGCGGCGCAAGCUGCCACUUGCGGAUGGGCCCGCGGCGCAUUAGCUAGUUGGUGAGGUAACGGCUCACCAAGGCGACGAUGCGUAGCCGGCCUGGGAGGGUGACCGGCCACACUGGGACUGAGACACGGCCCAGGCUCCUACGGGAGGCAGCAGUAGGGAAUCUUCCGCAAGAGGCGAAAGCCUGACGGAGCGACGCCGCGGGAGCGAAGAAGGCCGUCGGGUCGGAAAGCUCUGUUGUGAGGGACGAAGGAGCGCCGUUUGAAGAAGGCGGCGCGGUGACGGUACCUCACGAGGAAGCCCCGGCUAACUACGUG
rnacentral:rRNA from 1 species